rnacentral:rRNA from 1 species
GUUAGGAAUAUUGGACAAUGGGCGCAAGCCUGAUCCAGCCAUGCCGCGUGAGUGAUGAAGGUCUUCGGGUUGUAAAGCUCUUUAGUCCACGAAUAUAAUGACUGUAGUGGAAGAAUAAGCCCCGGCUAACUUCGUGCCAGCAGCCGCGGUAAUACGUAGGGGGCGAGCGUUAUUCGGAAUCACUGGGCGUAAAGCGUGCGUAGGCUGUUUUGUAAGUCAGAAGUGAAAGCCCAGGGCUUAACCCUGGAAUUGCUUUUGAAACUACAAGACUCGAAUUCGGGAGAGGAUAGCGGAAUUGUCAGUGUAGCAGUGAAAUGCGUAGAUAUUGACAGGAACACCAGUGGCGCAAGCGGCUAUCUGGACCGAUAUUGACGCUGAGGCACGAAAGCGUGGGGAGCAAACAGGAUUAGAAACCCUGGUAGUCC